UAGUCUGGAGAGGUGCCAUCGGUCCCCCUCGGCGCCAAAAUCCCUUGGAACGGGGUAUCGGAGAAGGUGAGAAUCCUGUCAAGCGCCGGAGUGGGACCGUACGAUGUGCUCUCGUAGAGUCGGGCUGCUUGGGAGUGCAGCCUGAAGCGGGUGGUAAAUUCCAUCUAAAGCUAAAUACUGGCGGGAGACCGAUAGCGAACAAGUACCGUGAGGGAAAGAUGCAAAGAACUUUGAAAAGAGAGUUAAAGAGUGCUUGAAAUUGGCAGGAGGAAACCCGGUUGCGCGUGGCAUUUGGCGUGGUCGACUCAGCCGCGCGCGGAGAUCUGUAGGGGACCUAACGGCCUCGUGGUCAGCGCGCGCGGUGCACUUCGGCCGCGUCGGUCAGCCGCGUUUCUGCGCGGCCCAUACGGCCGUGGGCAGGGCUUCGGCGCCGCCUGCGGUUUGGGGGUCGCGCGGGAUCCCGGCUGAUGCGCACGGGCGCAACCGACCCGUCUAGAAACACGGACCAAGGAGUCUGACGCGUGUGCG
rnacentral:rRNA from 1 species